UACGUAGGGUGCAAGCGUUAAUCGGAAUUACUGGGCGUAAAGCGUGCGCAGGCGGUUUUGUAAGACUGUCGUGAAAUCCCCGGGCUCAACCUGGGAAUGGCGAUGGUGACUGCAAGGCUAGAGUUUGGCAGAGGGGGGUAGAAUUCCACGUGUAGCAGUGAAAUGCGUAGAUAUGUGGAGGGACACCGAUGGCGAAGGCAGCCCCCUGGGUCAAAACUGACGCUCAUGCACGAAAGCGUGGGGAGCAAACAGG
rnacentral:rRNA from 1 species